UGGGGAAUCUUGGACAAUGGGCGCAAGCCUGAUCCAGCCAUGCCGCGUGAGUGAAGAAGGCCUUAGGGUUGUAAAACUCUUUCGCCGGAGAAGAUAAUGACGGUAUCCGGAGAAGAAGCCCCGGCUAACUUCGUGCCAGCAGCCGCGGUAAUACGAAGGGGGCUAGCGUUGUUCGGAAUUACUGGGCGUAAAGCGCACGUAGGCGGGUCUGUAAGUAGGGGGUGAAAUCCCAGGGCUCAACCCUGGAACUGCCUUCUAGACUGCAGGCCUGGAGGUCAGGAGAGGCGAGUGGAAUACCGAGUGUAGAGGUGAAAUUCGUAGAUAUUCGGUGGAACACCAGUGGCGAAGGCGACUCGCUGGACUGAUACUGACGCUGAGGUGCGAAAGCGUGGGGAGCAAACAGGAUUAGAUACC
rnacentral:rRNA from 1 species